GCCACUGUAACUGAAUGGUGUUGGAGGCGUUUGCUGUUCGCGGCGUCCUCGGGUUCGAUUCCCGGCGGCGGCA